rnacentral:rRNA from 1 species
UCAUCUCCGGGGGUAGAGCACUGUUUCGGCUAGGGGGCCAUCCCGGCUUACCAACCCGAUGCAAACUACGAAUACCGGAGAAUGUUAUCACGGGAGACACACGGCGGGUGCUAACGUCCGUCGUGAAGAGGGAAACAACCCAGACCGCCAGCUAAGGUCCCAAAGUCAUGGUUAAGUGGGAAACGAUGUGGGAAGGCACAGACAGCCAGGAUGUUGGCUUAGAAGCAGCCAUCAUUUAAAGAAAGCGUAAUAGCUCACUGGUCGAGUCGGCCUGCGCGGAAGAUGUAACGGGGCUAAACCAUGCACCGAAGCUGCGGCAGCGACACUAUGUGUUGUUGGGUAGGGGAGCGUUCUGUAAGCCGUCGAAGGUGGCCUGUGAGGGCUGCUGGAGGUAUCAGAAGUGCGAAUGCUGACAUAAGUAACGAUAAAGCGGGUGAAAAGCCCGCUCGCCGGAAGACCAAGGGUUCCUGUCCAACGUUAAUCGGGGCAGGGUGAGUCGACCCCUAAGGCGAGGCCGAAAGGCGUAGUCGAUGGGAAACAGGUUAAUAUUCCUGUACUUGGUGUUACUGCGAAGGGGGGACGGAGAAGGCUAUGUCGGCCGGGCGACGGUUGUCCCGGUUUAAGCGUGUAGGUGUGUGUUCCAGGUAAAUCCGGUUCACUUUAACACUGAGGCGUGAUGACGAGGCAC